UGUGACAUCAUAGCCGUGCUUCUCUGUGAUGUAUAAAGGGAGCCCUCCAAAGGGCCACCCCGACCUAUAUCUGCCCAAAAAUCAGUUAGACCUUGAUUGGGCAGGUUGGAUUUUCCCAUCUUAUUAAGGACAGUGUUGGCUCAUUGAUGAGGUCCUUGCCCUGAUAGCCCAGAUCCCUGUUGUUGUGAUCCAAUGAUCUGAUUGGGCCAAACAAUCCAGUUAGCCGAUAUAGCCAACCAUUAGGGAAAGAUCGACUCAUUUGCAGAUGGUCACAUGUACGGCAGCUUAUUCACAGGAGACUCAUUCCAUGUUAUCUUAGUUUGCCUUGUUUGAUUGAAUACUGUCUGUUCCUGAUGGAAUCAUUUGCAAUUUGCCAGCUGUACAUGAGGCCAUACCUGAGAUCUUAAUUAAAGGAGAUUCCAUGCUGGAUAGUAAAGAUGUCAGAUCUGUCAGCACAUAUGGGGAAUAAAUAUUAUCAGCCACCCACGAAGAACAACGUUUCUGGUUUUUACCUCCAUUGAAGUGUGUUUCUUGGAGCAGUGCAAUAUCAGCAUCAAGUUUUUUUAGUUCUUUAGUAUAUAGUAAUAUAGUAAUAUAGUUUAGUAGAAUUCUUUUGCAUUUUAUUGGUGAAUUAAUUCCAUUCACGUUCCAUGAAAUAACUUUGAUGUUAUCCAUAUAAUAUCCAGAUAAUAAAUGCAGUAUACAUAACAUAAGAUUAAGUGCGUGCGCGCAUGAAACGCGUCAGGCGUUAUGUUUUUUAAUGGAAAAAUAAAGAUCAAUUUUUAAAGAAUAUAUCCCAGUCCGGUGCGCUUGGUGUUACCUGCCUUGGAUUUUACAUAACAUAAGACAUCAACAUUAGACUAGCCUUAAAUAGGUGGUUAUCUGUAGAAUCAAUAGAAUGAAGGUAACAGCUUAUGUUUAUUAGGAAAAGAAUAUUAAAUAACAACAUUGUGAAAAAGAUAUAGUAACAAAA